UGGGGAAUAUUGCGCAAUGGGCGAAAGCCUGACGCAGCAACGCCGCGUGGGUGAUGAAGGCCUUCGGGUCGUAAAGCCCUGUCAGAGGGAACGAACGGUCGGGAGAGGAAAUGCUCUCGAAUUGACGGUACCCUCGAAGGAAGCACCGGCUAACUCCGUGCCAGCAGCCGCGGUAAUACGGGGGGUGCAAGCGUUGUUCGGAAUUACUGGGCGUAAAGCGCGUGUAGGCGGAUGUUUAUGUCAGAUGUGAAAUCCCAUGGCUUAACUGUGGAAUUGCAUUUGAAACUAAACGUCUGGAGUACGGUAGAGGGAAGGGGAAUUCCCGGUGUAGAGGUGAAAUUCGUAGAUAUCGGGAGGAAUACCAGUGGCGAAGGCGCCUUCCUGGGCCGAUACUGACGCUGAUACGCGAAAGCGUGGGGAGCAAACAGG
rnacentral:rRNA from 1 species